rnacentral:lncRNA from 1 species
ACCAUUCAGAAGACUGUCCACCCGUCCUCAGCCCCCUCUCUUCGUGGGCUAUCUACUCAGUUGAUCCCUCCCUCGCUGGCUUGGCUCUGACUCCUGCUCAGACCCAUCACCUUUGCCGGGAAUGAUGUCUGGAGAACCCCUGCACGUGAAGACCCCCAUCCGUGACAGCAUGGCCCUGUCCAAAAUGGCCGGCACCAGCGUCUACCUCAAGAUGGACAGUGCCCAGCCCUCCGGCUCCUUCAAGAUCCGGGGCAUUGGGCACUUCUGCAAGAGGUGGGCCAAGCAAGGCUGUGCACAUUUUGUCUGCUCCUCGGGUAAGUGAUCUGCUUCCCCAUCCUGUCCUCUGCUGUGUGUCCUGGGAUCAGACACUCUGCUUCUCUGAGCCCUGGUUUCCCCAGCAAUGUGCCACUGAAAACAAUGGCAGCAGCCACCAAUUUGGAAUUCCAGGGGGAGGCCAGCAGUCGCCCAGGGUGGGGAGGUGAGGGGGGAACUCCAGAGCCCCCAGUAGAGGGUACGCAGUCCUGCCUGGGCUCCCAGAUGCUCCCGCACUGACACGCUCUCCACCCCCGACCCUGGCAGCGGGCAACGC